rnacentral:rRNA from 1 species
GACGAACGCUGGCGGCGUGCUUAACACAUGCAAGUCGAACGGAAAGGCCUUUUCGGAGGUACUCGAGUGGCGAACGGGUGAGUAACACGUGGGUGAUCUGCCCUGCACUCUGGGAUAAGCCUGGGAAACUGGGUCUAAUACCGGAUAGGACCGCACUUUAGUGUGGGUGGGGGAAAGUUUUUUCGGUGUAGGAUGAGCCCGCGGCCUCUCAGCUUGUUGGUGGGGUAAUGGCCUACCAAGGCGGCGACGGGUAGCCGGACUGAGAGGUUGGUCGGCCACAUUGGGACUGAGAUACGGCCCAGACUCCUACGGGAGGCAGCAGUGGGGAAUAUUGCACAAUGGGCGCAAGCCUGAUGCAGCGACGCCGCGGGGGGGAUGACGGCCUUCGGGUUGUAAACUCCUUUCGCCAGGGACGAAGCGUUUUGUGACGGUACCUGGAGAAGAAGCACCGGCUAACUACGUG